UCUCCUUUCCGUCGGAGGAGGAACGUGUCAGCCUAGCUCUGCGCUUCUGCCAUUAACUGGAACGAGAAACCCUAUCUCGCGGCCUUGGCCAAUUCCGCGAGAGCUCUCUUCCUCCUCUCCUGUUUCGAGCUCCUUUCCUCUCCCUCCAGAUGCCACGUAUGGAGGACAUUCUAAAUCUUCCUGUUCAAGAUCCUCCGCUUUUUGAAUUUUCUGCCGCUAAUUUGAACUGGAUAAAAGUAGAUGGAGGUCGCCAGGGUGGUGAUGAUAUUGCUCUGAUUCCGUUCUCCCGAGUUGACGAUUUUGUCAAAGGUGAAUCAUCAAAUGCGGAAUGCCCUGCAAGUUUUCGUAUUGAGUCAAGAAGAAAGCGAUCUGAAGGAACCGUUACCAAGCCUAGGAUUGAUGCUUAUAUCGAAUAUACUCUAUAUUGGUGCUCUUAUGGUCCUGAAGACUAUCGUCGUUCUGAGUCUAGCAACAGCGAUUGCCCGAAUAAUAAACCAUUAUCAGGGAAAGGUAGCAGGCCCGGUAGGCGGCACAUGAUGAGAGGCUGUCUCUGCCAUUUCACUGUUAAGCGCUUGUAUGGUCGUCCACUUCUAGCACUCAUCAUCUAUAACCAGCAAAAUCAUGUCGAUAAGACAGGGGCACCCUGUCACGGUCUACUGGAUAUGGAUGCUGUAGGAACCCGAGCUAUGUAUGCUCCAUGGAUUUCAGAUGGACUGCGGCAAAAAAUAAUAUGUAUGCUUUAUGUUGGUAUGUCUUUAGAUAACAUCAUUCAACAUCAUGUAGAAAUGGUGGAGAGACAUGGUGGACCUCGUAAUCGUGAUGAUUUUCUGACAAGAAAUGAUGUUCGUAACAUUGAAAGGGUAAUCCUCCAUUCUACAUACAAACUGCAUGCUGAUGAUGCAUUAAGCCUAGACAUGUGGGUGCAGCGCCAUCAGAAGUAUGUUUUUUUCUUCCGAGGCAACUGUGAAAUGGAACCAUUUGUUUUAGGCAUACAAACGGAAUGGCAGUUACAGCAGAUGCUUCAUUAUGGGCAUAAUGGUUGCGUGGCUUUACAUUCAUCUUUUGGCUUGAAGAAGCUUCGGCAUCCCUUGCAUACAUUAUUAGUUUUUGACUCAUGCCAAAAUGCAAUUCCUGUUGCAUGGGUCAUCAAUUCUAGUUUUGAUGGUCCAUAUAUACAUAACUGGAUAGAUGCCCUUGUUGAGCGAGCACGAGCAAAGCAUCAUAGAUGGAGGCCAAAUUCCUUUUUAGUCGAUGAUCCAUCUCCUGAUGUUUUCAUCAUCAGAGAGACAUUUCAGUGUCAGGUCUUUUUAUGCCUUUGGCAUGUACGCCGAGCUUGGUUUAAAGGACUUUUGAAGAAAUGCUUCAAUUUUGAUGUGCAGAAGGAAAUAUUUAGGCUGCUAGGACACAUCUUGUACUGCCCAAAAAGUGGCCAAAAUGUCAUGGAUAUAAUAGAAGAGUUCAUGCAAAUAUUUAUUGAUCAGCAUGAAUUCAUGGAGUACUUUAAGAAACGAUGGUUGACAAGAAUUGACAUGUGGAUCGCUGCUGUGGGGACUCUUCCUGUUUCAAAGCAAGAACUUGAUGCUGCAAUCGAGUCUUACCAUUUAAAAUUGAAAUCGAAACUCUUAAGCGAUGUGCAUGCCAAUUCAUGGCAUAGAGUCGACUGGUUGGUGCACACGCUAACCACUGAAUUUCACUCCAUAUAUUGGUUUCACAAAUACACUGAAGAAUGUGGUCCUUUAAGGAAUCACAUGGAGGAGUUUCUUCCAACCAAUUCAUGGUAUCGGGCACUGCAAAUUCCAGAUCUUGAUGUGUUAUUGGAUGAGGAAGACCUUCACCCAUCAAAGGUUGUUUCCCAAUCUGAUAGGAGCCUAGCAUACACAAUAUGGAAUCCUGGUUCAGAAUUUUCAAUCUGUGAUUGCCCUUGGUCGAGGAUGGGUAAUCUUUGCGAGCAUGUGAUUAAAGUAGGUAUUUUCUGUAGAAAUCAGCAGCAUCACCUCAAGGGCUUGGAAGAUUUAUCCAACGGUGCCCUUCUUCAGCCAUCAUCUGCUUUAGAUGCAAGUGCUUUUUUCCAUGAAAAUAUUUCACCACAAACGAGUAUGCCCAGAGAACAGAUUUUGGGUACUAGGAGGCAAAGGACUUUGAGCAGACAGUUGAACAAUGGGGGCUUACAACUUGAUUUUCUGGGGAGGAACACUUGUAAAUAUUCAGGUUCCAACUGGUAAAAUGAGAGAGGUUCUUCAAAUAUUUAGAGUGCCCAACAAAUCAAAUAUGGUUAACCCCAUCAUUUUUCAAGCGAUCAUGGGCCACUGUAAGUUGAUUUGAAGGAUGUUAUUUGAACAGCUUAGGAUACAGAAGUGAUUCCAACGCGACUUAUGGUAUGAUUAACUAUUACUUUUCAGCAUGGUUAUGGGAAUUUGUCUUGCUUGUGAUUUCACUGUCGGUGGAGACCUAGAGAAGCAUCUUUCACCUGGCAACUUAAAAGUACAAAAUUUGGUAAUUUUUGCAUGACUUGGCCACUGCACAUCUAAUCUCAGAUGAUUGGAUUGGAUCAUCACCACAUAUGGGAUUCUUUGGUCAAUCAGGAAUUCUGGAUCAUGAAAGUUUAGUUAUCUGGAAUACAAGAGUCAAGAUUCAUGUUGCUUUUGGUGUGAAUUGCUUCCACAAUGAGUGAAGGAUUUAUGGUGCUUGCAAGGAUUGAUCCACUUGUCCUGGGAUGAUCACCACCUGCUGAUGAGACCUGGGGAUGAUUUGAGAAGUGAACAAUAGGAUUGACUAUGCUGCAUCAGCCAUUAUAUUUAGCUAUAAAAGGGGUGCAAAUACCUACUAAUGUAACAAAAAUUAUAAUGCUGAUGUCGGUACAUGAGUAAAAUCAGCUACAUUAAGGGGAUAUUAAGACUUGCAUCAAUUGAACACCAAUGAGGGUAAAGGUCAGAAUUGUAUGUUAUGGUCUGUUUUCAAUGAACUCAAAACUAGAAGUUGAGCAUGUCAUAUUUACUAAUGCUGCUGAAGGAUCCUUCAAGCUUGUUAGUCAAGGAUCUGUUUCUUUAGUCUGUCCUUUGGUGAGCUCCUGUUCGAUUUAGGAAACUGCUUUGUUAGCGUGCCGACUGAAACAAUGCUUCAAGCCUAGUUUGUUGAUCAAGUUUCUUCUCUGCUUUUUGAGCUUUCUUUCUCAGGCAACCGAACAGAUGAAAACCAUUUGAAGAAACGAAUCCUGAUUGUCCGGUUCUAUACUGCAUUUUUUAUGCACAUCAUGCCUUUGACUUUCUGAGAAUCACGUGAAGAGAUUAGAGUGGGUUCUAAUUUUUGAACUUUGAUGACACUGCCAGGUUGGAGACACCAAACUUGUGUGGCGCGCUCCAAUUCAUGUGGUUUCAUGGAUUUAAGAUGAGUGCGGAAAUUCAAGAAGUUGAAGAUUUUUUUGAAUGAAAAAUUCUACUGCAUUUUUCAGGAUCAAAACCGCAGAAGGUACGACUGUUUGAGUAAAACUAUCAAAAGGGUUUCCCCGUAGCCCUUGGAACUAAGCAAAUCUUUCCGUUGCACCUGGAAUUUUUUAGCUGGCAUUUUCCAAUAGGAGUUGCAUGUAAAUUGUGUUUUCUGUGGGGCGAUGAACUGAUAAGCACUGUUUUCAAAAUUGGGCUGCUCCUGGAAACAAAUUUGCUGGCAUUGUUGGUCAACUUGGAGAACUUAUCAUUGAACCGAACUUUGGUACGGUGCGGGAGAUCCAAAGCUCAAAGUAGUAUUAUUAUGAGAAGGUGAUGAACAAAUCUCCUUAUAAUUUCGUUGUUUAUUAUAUGUUCAAAUGCUAAGUUGUGUACAGCUAGUAGGAGGGUGCACAUCUCCAUGAUUUGUAAUCCCCCGUGUUGAUGCAUCGUAUAAUAUUUAUAAAGCUGACGAUGCAUGCUCCUUUCUCCA